UCGAUCUCACACCUCGAGAUCAGGACCUGAGCCGAAACCAAGAGUCAGAUGCUCAACCAGCUGCACCACCCAGGGGCCCCGGGAUUAUUUAUUUUUUUUUCUAAUUUUUCUUUCUGAUACUUUGUUAUUAGUGAAUAGCAACAAAACUGACUUUUGGAUAUCAAUUUGGUAUCGUGCAACUUUACCGAAUUUGUUGAUUAGUUCUGACCGCUGGUCUGUUCUUGAAGGUUCCAGUGGGGAAAAUAUCCUGUGCCCCGGUCCCCAUGGAGCAUCCUCCAGUUCCCGCAAAUAUGUGACGUCCAAGGCUCUUCCUUGGUUUCCCAAGGCUCUUUGGUUCGUGUGAUGCCACCCAAGGCCCCCAUGUCCAUCCUCACUGAAUCAGGGGUUGCUACAGGACUCCUGCUGGGAGAGGGUGGGUGGGAGGGAGGGUCUGAGAGCAGGGCCCCCCUGGCACAGGGCGAGAGUUGCUAAAUGCUGAAAGCCAGCUGCCCUCGGCUCUGUGUCCAACUUGGUUCUGCUGUCUUGGGGAAAUCCUUUCUCUUCCAGAGUGCCCCCAGGUUCCUCCAGACAGCCACCUGGACAGAGGUAGGGCGACAGAGGUGUAAGGAGAGCCCGAAUGCGGAGGGGUAGCACGGGGGUCUUCCCCCUUCCCCGUGACAGCCACCCCAACCAGGGGUCUCAGGUGGGCCUCUUUGCAGCUCUGCGGACCCUCUGCUGCUUCCCGAGCUCUAGUAAAAACCUCCAGGCUUCUAUCCCCUUGCAGCCCCCUGCUGGGGACCAGAGGCUCCGGUUAGGCCGGAUGUGAGAGAGGGAAGGGAGCCUGCAGAAGCAACAGAGCCCUACCUGGACGGCCAAGGCCCGAUUUACUCGCUCUAGCCCGCCCCGCCUCCCCCUUGCCGACACAGACCCACACUCGCCGCCCUGGGGGAACCUUUUCCAGCUGUGCCAGCUGAGAUGCAGUGUCCCUUGCUUCACGGUGCUGAGCCGGUGGCCAGGGGAGGACUCUCCCCGGGACGGGCCUGGGCUGGCUGCAGCUCCCCGGCUCCCUCCGGUCCUCCUGACACCAGCCCGUUCUGUGCUAGGUCCCUUCUGAACGUCGUCCCUCUGUAGGUCCCCAGGGAUGGCGUCAGUCCACCGUCCUCGUAGGGACGGGCGCUGGGGCUGGAGCCUUGGACCUUAUAGGAGGAAGGGAGACUCUUUAACAUGGAGAAUGAUGGUGAUUGUGCAGGAAGAGGGUACUCAGGGCAAUAGAAGGGUGUGCUCAUUCCCAAAUGCCAAAGGUAUUUCUUGCAGAACAGACCUCCAGGUGUGGCCUCAGGGCAGGGCCAGGACCAGGGCCACAGAAAAAGCAGCGAACAGACUCACAGACUCGCCUCGUGUAAAGGCUGGAUUGCCUUUUAAUGUAAAAAUAGGCCGGUGAUCAAGUCUCUGACGACCCAGUCAUGAUGCUGAGCUUUCCCACAUGCCGACACCCCCGUGAGUAGACUCCAUGCCCAGUGUGGAGCCCAGUGUGGGGCUUGAACUCACGACCCCGAGCUCAAGACCUGGAGCUGAGAUCGAGUUUUGGGGGCCAGACGACUUUUACCUCCGAACUCUCCCACCAUGUGCGCGUCGGUUCGGACGGGCUCCUCGUGCUGCCGUGACCGACAGGACCCUGGUUGCCGAAGACAAAUGCUUAUUUGCUUGUGCUACAUGUUGAUUGUGCAUCGGCUGGGAGCGCUUUGCCCACGUUUGCCGACUCCUGGGUGACUACAGAAGAGACUACGACUGCCCUCUUUCUCUCCAAAAGCAACUACUGCGCUGACCUCCGUAGCGAUCACUUCCUUGUAUUUGUUUGUCUUUAAUGAAACUUUAAAUUUUGA